GGUUAAGUUAAUAAGGGCGCACGGUGGAUGCCUUGGCACUAGAAGCCGAAGAAGGACGUGACUAACGACGAAAUGCUUUGGGGAGCUGUAAGUAAGCGCUGAUCCAGAGAUGUCCGAAUGGGGGAACCCACUAGUUAAUGACUAGUAUCCAUAUCUGUUAAGGAUAUGAGAAGGAAGACGCAGUGAACUGAAACAUCUAAGUAGCUGCAGGAAGAGAAAGCAAAAGCGAUUGCCUUAGUAGCGGCGAGCGAAACGGCAGGAGGGCAAACCGAAGUGUUUACACUUCGGGGUUGUAGGACUGCGAUAUAGGAUUAAUCAUUAUAGAAGAAUUACCUGGGAAGGUAAGCCAAAGAGAGUAACAGCCUCGUAUUUAAAAUGAUAGAUUAACCUUAGCAGUAUCCUGAGUACGGCGAGACACGCGAAAUCUCGUCGGAAUCUGGGAGGACCAUCUCCCAACCCUAAAUACUCUCUAGUGACCGAUAGUGAACCAGUACCGUGAGGGAAAGGUGAAAAGCACCCCGGGAGGGGAGUGAAAUAGAACCAGAAACCGUGUGCCUACAACAAGUUCGAGCCCGUUAAUGGGUGAGAGCGUGCCUUUUGUAGAAUGAACCGGCGAGUUACGAUAUGAUGCGAGGUUAAGUUGAAGAGACGGAGCCGUAGGGAAACCGAGUCUUAAUAGGGCGCCAUAGUAUCAUGUUGUAGACCCGAAACCAUGUGACCUACCCAUGAGCAGGUUGAAGGUGAGGUAAAACUCACUGGAGGACCGAACCAGGGCACGUUGAAAAGUGCUUGGAUGACUUGUGGGUAGCGGAGAAAUUCCAAACGAACUUGGAGAUAGCUGGUUCUCUCCGAAAUAGCUUUAGGGCUAGCGUCGAUGUUAAGUCUCUUGGAGGUAGAGCACUGUUUGGGUGAGGGGUCCAUCCCGGAUUACCAAUCUCAGAUAAACUCCGAAUGCCAACGAGAUAUAAUCGGCAGUCAGACUGCGAGUGCUAAGAUCCGUAGUCGAAAGGGAAACAGCCCAGACCACCAGCUAAGGUCCCAAAAUAUAUGUUAAGUGGAAAAGGAUGUGGGGUUGCACAGACAACUAGGGACACAAAAGUGUCAUGGUAGGAGAGCGUUCUAUGUGUGAAGAAGGUGUACCGUGAGGAGCGCUGGAACGCAUAGAAGUGAGAAUGCCGGUAUGAGUAGCGCAAGACAGGUGAGAAUCCUGUCCACCGUAAGACUAAGGUUUCCAGGGGAAGGCUCGUCCGCCCUGGGUUAGUCGGGACCUAAGGAGAGACCGAAAGGUGUAUCCGAUGGACAACAGGUUGAUAUUCCUGUACUAGAGUAUAUAGUGAUGGAGGGACGCAGUAGGCUAACUAAACCAGACGAUUGGAAGUGUCUGGUCAAACAGUGAGGUGUGAUAUGAGUCAAAUGCUUAUAUCUUUAACAUUGAGCUGUGACGAGGAGCGAAGUUUAGUAGCGAAGUUAGUGAUGUCACACUGCCAAGAAAAGCUUCUAGCGAUACAUAUACUCUACCCGUACCGCAAACCGACACAGGUAGUCGAGGCGAGUAGCCUCAGGUGAGCGAGAGAACUCUCGUUAAGGAACUCGGCAAAAUGGCCCCGUAACUUCGGGAGAAGGGGCGCUGAUUUUAGAUCAGCCGCAGUGAAUAGGCCCAAGCAACUGUUUAUCAAAAACACAGCUCUCUGCUAAAUCGUAAGAUGAUGUAUAGGGGGUGACGCCUGCCCGGUGCUGGAAGGUUAAGAGGAGUGCUUAGCGUAAGCGAAGGUAUGAAUUGAAGCCCCAGUAAACGGCGGCCGUAACUAUAACGGUCCUAAGGUAGCGAAAUUCCUUGUCGGGUAAGUUCCGACCCGCACGAAAGGCGUAAUGAUUUGGGCACUGUCUCAACGAGAGACUCGGUGAAAUUUUAGUACCUGUGAAGAUGCAGGUUACCCGCGACAGGACGGAAAGACCCCAUGGAGCUUUAC
rnacentral:rRNA from 1 species